ensembl:snoRNA
UUGGCCCUGAAUCAAGGCCAGCAGUUUGCUGAAACUUGAUUUCAAGCAGGCGCCUAAAGAAUUAUCUUUCUAUGUUCUGUUAGUCAUUUCAGAACUUUAGAAAUGUAAUGGUCAAUUCAUUAGAAAUAAACAGUA